UGGGAAAAACAUUGUUCGAGAGGUAAUGGCUGCCACCUCUUUUAGUUGAAUUGUAUCUUGCAUUUAAUAAACAUUGUUCUAGAGAACUGGGAUAUUAUACUCACAGUUACAUACUCUUCUCAUUUGAAAGACUAGUGAGGCAACAACACAUGCAAUUCAAUCAUUAGUAGCAUUUUCUUGUUGAUGUAGUACCUCCUCCACAUUUUGCUUAAUGCUGGAACAAGUAAGCAUAAAGGUUUGGUUAUCAUGUAUACAUGCUGAGAGGAGUAGAAAAAUAAGUGUAACUUAGGUUGAAUUGGAUAGUAACUUUUCUUUUUAAGAAAACCGAUAAUAGUUGAACAUAAAAUAUCUGAAUAAUUUAGUUAUCAUAAUUCUCAAACUGAAAUUUUACCAAACAUUUUUAGACAAUUGACAAGUCAAUUCAAAUUGAGUUUCUCUGUUUCACCACCUUCGCAAUAGUGGAAUGGGUGCAUAAUUUUGCAUGAAGGGAAACUAAAAUAGAUCUAUAUGACAUCUCUUCGUUUUCAAAGAAUUCUUGAUGUGAAAAACAUAGAAACAAAGGUCUGAUAUUUGAAUAGGAAAAAGAUUAGAUCUGCGAAAUUCCUAAUGAAUUGGCUUAUUUGUAAAAGGCUUGGUUCUUUGGGUCGUAGAAGUAUAUUUGCAAUAUAGCAUCAGAGAGAAGAAUAUUACUUUCAAUGCUUGUGUAGAUUCUUAUUAGAAUAAACUUCCUCAUAAACUUUUCAAUUCAACUUUUAGGGGUAAAGACCAAAAAAACAUUAAUUACCACUUAAGAACCAUAAUAAGGUUGUAUAUAAAAUAAAACAAAUUAAUAAAGAAUGCACGGUCGGAUGGAAGGAUGAGACUCAGUAUCGAUAGAGGAAGAGUUAUGCAAAUCAUCCAGUUCCACCCCUACUUGAUUUGGGUUCAACCAAGGAUUAAUAAAAUUCUAUUUUAGAAAAAUUUGCAAAAAAAAUAUCAAUCUUCGUUCACGCCAUCAAAACCAUACUUUUGCAAUUGCCAAGUAGCGUAAUAACAAUUUUGUUCGGUUAGUGUUGCAUUGAUGAUUCUUCUAUUCUUUUAGAAAGUACAAUUUUAUUGCUAAAAGAACCAUGUAAGAUUUAAUUUUUGAGGCAUACAAAAACAUUAUUUAUAUAUUAUUUGGUUUCAGGUAAUGGGUUAUUUUACACCAUACAAGCCCUAUGUAAGGUUUAAUGGUCAAAAAAGUCAAAACUUUUGAGUUUUUGACUUUUGUAAUCAUUCACAAACCUUUUAAUUCUAGCAAUUUUGUCUAAUUUCAAAUGUUAGUUGUAAAUUUGUUCAAUGGUUAAAAUUGAAGUUUUAGAUGCUUACAUGGUGGCCAACUAUAUGGCAAUUUUUUUUUUUUAGUUGUGAGUGAGACCCACAUGUAUGGGCUCAUAUAUAUAUAUAUUUUAAAAUAAUUACAAUUAUGUGGGCCCCACAAUAUAAGAAAACAAUAUUUUGUUCAAGUCAGUUGCCAUGUAAAUAUCCCAAAAUUCAGUUUGGAUAAUUGGAUAAAUUUAUAACUAACCUUUGAUGAUUUGGGUCUCUUCUGGGUAAUUGAGGUGCCAAAUCAAGAACUCUGAUCAGUAUUGCUGCUUCAUAUAGAAUAGCGGCUGAAGCAAUGAUUACGCAAAUCGAAGGUUGGUUACUUGGGUAGGAAAUUGUGCUCACAGACCUGUAUGAGUAUUUUCUUACAUGUUUUGCUUGAAGUGUAAAGCAUAACGUUGUAUAUAAAGAAUGAAAGGAAUUAAUACCUAUUGUUUGUUGACAUAUGUUGAUAAUAUCAUUAUAUGGCAAUUGAUCUACAAGUACACUAUAGAAAACAAUUUUGAUAAUCUUUUUUUUUUAAAUAUAUUUUUGGAUUUUAUCUUCAUCAGGUCAAUGUUUCAUACCAAUCUG
rnacentral:misc_RNA from 1 species